rnacentral:rRNA from 1 species
UGUAAGCGUAUACCAAAGUUGUUGCAGUUAAAACGCUCGUAGUCGGAAUUUGGCAGUUCCGGAUGUGUGCACGUCGUGUGCGCACUUCGCGGGGAUUGCUUUUGUGGUCUUGCGUAGGAUGAGGCACUUUUAUUAGUGAACGUCCUCACGCAACCACUUUUUACUGUGAGAAAAUCAGAGUGCUCAAAGCAGGCAUUUGCCGUGAAUGUAUUAGCAUGGAAUAAUAGAAUAGGACUUGGUUCUAUUUUGUUGGUUUGUUGGGACUGAGUAAUGGUUAAGAGGGACAGUUGGGGGCAUUUGUAUUUCGGUGCUAGAGGUGAAAUUCUUAGAUUACCGAAAGACAAACUGCUGCGAAAGCGUCUGCCAAGGAUGUUUUCAUUGA